rfam:Erinaceus europaeus unplaced genomic scaffold scaffold00358, whole genome shotgun sequence
GGAUGUGAGGGCGAUCUGGCUGCGACAUCUGUAACCCCAUUGAUCGCCAGGGUUGAUUCGGCUGAUCUGGCUGGCUAGGCGGGUGUCCCCUUCGUCCCUCACAGCUCCAUGUGUGUCCCUCCCAAAGCUGCGCGCUCCGUCUAAGAGGACGGCCUUCCCAGAAUAGAGACUGAGCGGCCUUCCGUAGAGCGUAUACGAGUAGCUGCGGUCCCCUGCCAAAACCUCCAAACAAGCUCUCAAAGAUAUAAACAGAAAUAAUCAAGACUACAAAGGCAAAUCAUAUGAAAAAGGGAAUCACCUGGAAAGGUAAUAACCAUUUUAAGCUGCAUCCCUGGACUUUGGAU